ACAAUUCUAUGACUUCUCUUAUUUUAUUUAGUUCUAAUUAUAUCCAUGUCUAUGUCUAUCUAUCUGUGUGUGUGUGUGUGUGUGUGUGUGUGUGUGUGUGUGUGUGUGUGUAGAUAUAUUCACACAAGUGAAGGGGUCCAGAGAUGCCAGAUACAUCUGGAGCUGGAGUUAGAUAGUUAGAUGUGAUUGCUUACUACCUGUAAUGGAUACUGAACUUCCAAUCUUCUGUAAAAACAGUGUAUAUGCUUAAUAACUGAGUUAUCUUCACAGCCUUUAUGAAUCUCUCAAAUCCCUCCCCACUUGUCUUCUCCCAUAUCCCUUACUCAACCUCUGUUUACUUCUGUGUAUUUUUCAUAUUAAAUACCAUAAUUGAGAAAGACCACUGACUCACUGAUUGCAUUAUUUUUCUAAGCAUAAGAAUAGCUAAUUCCAUCCAGUUUCUCAAAAAUAGUAUUAUUUCCUUCUUCAUGUUGGAAAAGUCUCUCUCUGUCUCUCUGUCUCUCUGUGUGUGCGUGCGUGUGCAUGUGUGUGUAUGUAUUAGAGGACUGUGGCAUUAGGAGGGUUGAGAAGUACUGAUAUAGCAAUCUGUUUUUAUUUAAGGUUGGAUUUCUGUACCUGGGCUAAUUUCCACCUCUAAUUUCCAUUUCUGUACCUGGGCUAAUUUCCACCAAUUUGAGAAGGAUGGAAUAGUCACUGGGGAUGGAGUGAGGUGUAAUUUUCUAUUUAGUUUUUAUUUGCAUUCCUAUUGAGUAUGUCCUCACAUAUUUCUUGGCUGCUUGGACUCAUUCAUUUGAAAAGCAAUUGUUCCAUUUAUUUCCCCACUUACUGAUUCAAUCAUUAUAGUUUGUUCAUUUAGCUUUUUGAGUUCUUUAUAUGUUCUGGCCAUCCAUCACCUCUCUAAUGAAUUCUUAGUAAAGAUUUUUCUCCUAUGUACUUUCUCUUUGUUGGUCAGAGAACCUUUUAAUUGAUGCAAUCACACUUGUCAUUUCUUGUGAUUACUUCCUGAAUUCAUGGGAUUUUAUUCAGUACAUUUCUGCUUAUUUCUCAACAUGCUGAAGUAUUUUCUCUUCAUCUCUUUACCAGUUGCAAAUUUUCACAUCUUAUGUCAAUGUCUUUAAUCCAUUUUGGCAAUGUAUUCUUGCCAUUAGCAUGUUGUGUUUGUCCUUGGUUUGAGUCUACAUAAUUCCAAUUUUCUCCUUAUGUACACCUGGCUUUCUUCCCAAAUACUGAAAAAUAUGUGUUUUUCUCAUGUAAUGAAUCAUUCUUUGGAGAUUUAAGGUUUUUCCCCUAGUUAAUUGAGGGUGAUUUCAGCUCAACCUUCUUUAUUUAAAAUAGCUUGAUUUCCCCCCCUAAAUAAUAUAAUGAAGAAGUGCUUCUCUGGGAUUGUGAAAUCCCAGAAGGGAAAU
rnacentral:lncRNA from 1 species